rnacentral:lncRNA from 1 species
CUGAGUAGCUGGGACUACAGGCGCUCGCCACCACUCACGGCUAAUUUUUUUUUUUUUUUUUUUUUUUUGUAUUUUUAGUAGAGACAGGGUUUCACCGUAUCAGCCAGGAUGGUUUCGAUUUCCUGACCUCGUGAUCUGCCUGCCUCGGCCUUCCAAAGUGCUGGGAUUACAAGCAGAUGAAAUCCCACUAUUUUGCCCAGGCUCAUCUAUAACUUCUGAGCUCAAGACAUCCUCCUGCUUUGACCUUCCAAAGUGCUGGGAUAGGGGUUUUGUGCAAAUAUCUGCUGAGUGAACUACUUAUUUGAAAAUACAUCAUUGGUUAAUAUUCCCUUUUGCUCAUUGAAAUCUCAAAGACUACAGACCCCGCACAAGACAUUCUGACAUUCCCGUCUUUGAAAUGAAUGACAGCAAUGAUAAAUAUGGCUCACCUCCAGAGAUACAGAUCUCACAACUUCAUAUUUUUAAU